GGGGAUGACAAGGUCUCGACGUGAAGUUAUGCACUUUGAUAAAUGGCAAGAGCGCACCUAUGCGUUAAAUGGAAAACUAUCUGCAAACUCAAAAUUUGAGAAUGCAGUAGCUAGUUUGAAAGCUGGCAUUCGAGCUGGUCUCGAUGGUGCUGCAGCUGAUUUUGCUACCCUCACCGGUGCAAGUCGGUAUGCGACCUUAAAUGCAUAAGCGCAUAUUAGCUAUUCCCUUAGAAUAACCUCCGAUAGUUCUUUGGGGUACAACCUUCGGGGUACGAUCCUGAUCUCAGUUCUCGAUCUGUUUUGGGAUCCGACAAGUAUUAAAAUCGACAGCCUGAGGAAUGGUUUGUAUAUUCCCCAUUUUAGGCUAGAGGCAAAGAUAUACUAACUCUUCGACCAUAGGCCGAUCGUCCUUUGGACGAUGCUAAACAUUUUUUAUUGUGCCUUUGCGGACCCGGGUUCGACUCCCGGCAUCUCCACAC
rnacentral:tmRNA from 1 species